AAAAUACGAAAAGUAAUAUGAAUUGCAGAAACGAAUCAUCGAAUCUUUGAACGCACAUUGCGCCCGCCAGUAUUCUGGCGGGCAUGCCUGUUCGAGCGUCAUUACAACCCUCAGGCCCCCGGGCCUGGCGUUGGGGAUCGGCGGAAGCCCCCUGCGGGCACAACGCCGUCCCCCAAAUACAGUGGCGGUCCCGCCGCAGCUUCCAUUGCGUAGUAGCUAACACCUCGCAACUGGAGAGCGGCGCGGCCACGCCGUAAAACACCCAACUUCUGAAUGUUGACCUCGAAUCAGGUAGGAAUACCCGCUGAACUUAAGC
rnacentral:misc_RNA from 1 species